UUGAGAGAGAGAGCACUCAGCUCCUGCUGAGCACAGAGCCUGAUGCAGAGACUCAAUCCCCGGAUCUAUGAGACCAGAACCCGAGCUGAAACCAAGAGUUGGAUGUGCAACCCAACUGAUCCACCUGGGUGCCCUGAUGCACCUGAUUCUAAGCAAAAAUAUUUCAGGAAAGCCUAUUUUACACAGACUACGAGGACAAAGAGCCUUAAUAUGGUCCAGGCCAAGAAUAAACUUUGAGAUGAAAUUGAGAGAAAAACAGGUAGAAAAGGAAAAUCAGCAAACAUAGGUGACAACAGGGAAGAAAAGAAAACACACUAAAAUGAAAUUUCUGGUAAACCAGGCUAUGACAUUCAGAUCCACUUAUGUCCACUUCCAUAUUGUACAAGUACAUGUGAUUUUUACAACCAAACAGUGACCCUGGGUUAGAAGUUCUCAUUUCCUGGCUCCAGGGUGGAAUGCGUGGACAGUCCGAGCGAGCCCUUCCACGUCUGACUUCUGCAGGCCGUCAUCCGAGACAGACGCGAUUACAAAAUCCCAGUCUGGCUGGGGUUGACUGGGAGGCAGGGAUCACUGGGUGGCUUUCUCCAGCUGAACAAGGAAAGACAACAGGCGAAUGGGAUGAGGCUGCGCCAGGGGCCACACACUCUGACUCCGCGCCAGCUCGUAUCCUGGCUUCAGUCUUCUGGAAUUCCAGGGCCUCCCUAGACAGUGCUUUCUACCACCCAAGUGUUUGUGUUGCAUGGGAUAGACCUUUGGGGCAGGCCCAGAUGCUGCCAGAUAGAUAACGGUCUUGUUUGUGCGACAGAGUCACCGCCGGAGAGUUGUGUGAACAGUCAGCCUUGCCAGAGGGCUUUUGUCAUACGGCAGCAUCCUGGACGACGACGACGACGACGAUGACGAUGACGACAAGUGAUGGUGGUGAUGGUGACGAUGGUGAUGACGAAAGUAUUCAUUGAUCGGAAGAGUGCACUGAGGCAGUUUGAAGCUUUUGUGAAGAGCAUGGACUCGGAUUCCAGACUGAUUGCCUCAGUUGAAAUUCCAGAUGAGGACCUGAGGUGGAGAGCUGAAGUGGGCUGCUCCUGGUGCCCUCCUGGUGGAGCCAGGACUUAAACCCUGACUUCAAAGCCUGAUGUGUAUGAGGCUAAGUCGUGUCAUCUCUCCGUGGAUAGUUCACACUUCCCAAUCAGGAAUAGUGAAAAUUCUAACAGGCUACAACCAGAGAAGAACCAAGAAUCCGAAUCAGAGAUGACACUUUCCCAUGCCGAGGGCACUUAGUUAUCUGGAGGUUGUUCCUUGGUGCCACAAGAUUUAAUUCUUUCAGAGGAGCUUGGCCCCUGCAUUGCCAGACAGAGGAUCGGGUGCUGAGGCAUCAGAGAUAAGCAGCCCAGAGUCCCUCAGGUGUACAACAGGGUGAUUCGACAGCUGUAUGUGUUACAAAAUGCUCACCACGCUGCGCUUUGGCUAAUUUCUAGUUAUGGAGUAAUUUUUCCUUUUGCCACGAGUCCUGAUCCACAGGAGACAAGUCAGAAUGUCAGGGCCGGAAGGGACCUUGGA